GUAGGGGGCGAGCGUUGUCCGGAUUUACUGGGCGUAAAGAGCGCGUAGGCGGUUAGCUAAGUCAGGUGUGAAAUCUCCAGGGCUCAACCCGGAAACUGCAUUUGAUACUGGUUAACUUGAGUGUCGGAGAGGUAACUGGAAUUCCUGGUGUAGCGGUGACAUGCAUUGAUAUCAGGAGGAACACCCAUGGCGAAGGCAGGUUACUGGCCGACAACUGACGCUGAGGCGCGAAAGCGUGGGUAGCAAACAGAAUUAGAUACUCUGGUAGUCCACGCCCUAAACGAUGGAUACUAGACGUCGGAGGUAUCGACCCCCCCGGUGUCGCAGCUAACGCAAUAAGUAUCCCGCCUGGGGACUACGGCCGCAAGGUUG
rnacentral:rRNA from 1 species